rnacentral:rRNA from 1 species
UACGUAGGGAGCAAGCGUUGUUCGGAUUUACUGGGCGUAAAGGGCGCGUAGGCGGCGCGGUAAGUCACUUGUGAAAUCUCUGAGCUUAACUCAGAACGGCCAAGUGAUACUGCAGUGCUUGAGUGUGGAAGGGGCUACUGGAAUUCUCGGUGUAGCGGUGAAAUGCGUAGAUAUCGAGAGGAACACCUGCGGCGAAGGCGGGUAGCCGGGCCGACACUGACGCUGAUGCGCGAAAGCCAGGGGAGCGAACGGG